rnacentral:rRNA from 1 species
AAAGGGAGAGUAACGCGUAGAUAUCUGCCUCGAGGCCCGGGAUAGCGGCGGGAAACUGCCGGUAAUACCGGAUAACAUCUCCGGAUCAAAGGUGUGAUUCCGCCUCGAGAUGAGUCUGCGUCCUAUUAAUGCUUGUUGGUGUGGUAACGGCGCACCAAGGCGAAGAUGGGUACCGGGUGUGAGAGCAUGGCCCGGCUCACUGGGACUGAGACACUGCCCAGACACCUACGGGUGGCUGCAGUCGAGAAUCUUCGGCAAUGGGCGAAAGCCUGACCGAGCGACGCCGCGUGCGGGAUGAAGGCCCUCGGGUUGUAAACCGCUGUCAGUAGGGAGCAAAUCUCUUGGGGUUAUCCCCUUGAGUUGAGCGAUCUUCAGAGGAAGUACGGGCUAAGUUCGUGCCAGCAGCCGCGGUAAGACGAACCGUACGAACGUUAUUCGGAAUCACUGGGCUUAAAGAGUCCGUAGGCGGCCGUGUAGGUGGGAUGUGAAAGCCCUCGUCUCAACCGAGGAAUUGCGUUCCAAACCACAUGGCUUGAAGAGGAUAGAGGUGAGCGGAACUGAUGGUGGAGCGGUGAAAUGCGUUGAUAUCAUCAGGAACACCAGAGGCGAAGGCGGCUCACUGGGUCCUUUCUGACGCUGAGGGACGAAAGCUAGGGGAGCAAACGGGAUUAGAUACCCCGGUAGUCCUAGCUGUAAACGAUGAGCACUAGAUCGAGGGG